GACGACGAGGUAGAUAGGACAGAGGUGGAAGUGUGGUAACACAUGGAGCUGACUGUUACUAAUAGGUCGAGGGCAUAACCAAG
rnacentral:rRNA from 1 species